ACCUCCCCAGAUUUUUAACUAUUUUGGACUCGGAAGACCUUGAAAUGUCAUGAAAUUCAUAAAUGUGGGUUUUUUCUUGUAUUUAUAUAUUUCGACCAAUUUAAAAAUUAAAAAAAAUUGCUUUCCUCUAAAAAUUUUUCAGCUAGGUUUCUGUAUUAUAGAAAUAUUUCUAGAAAUUUUCAAAAAAAUCUUCGGCAUUGCUUCUACACAUGGCACCAUCUGCUCGAUAUCUCUAACCAAUCUCAGGACUUGAUCGUAUCGAGUAAAAAAAAUAAAAACAAAUAAAUUAUGCCAUGAAAGUAUAGCCAUAAACUGUUUAAUUACACUACUCUACAAAUUGAAAAAAGAAUUUCGGAACAGAAACACUUAUAUAUAAUCAUCGAAUGAGCGCACCAUGGAGACUUGUUAGAAAUGAUUAAGAGAAAUAAAACGACAGAAGAAGAGAGAGCCUGCCGUUGGUUUCAUCAUUCAGUAGAUAGCAUCGCCAACUGCCACAAUAUGGUGUGUAGAGUUAAGUAAAAGGGCAAUCUACAGACGAAAACCAACUCUCGCUAGGGCUGAAAUCCAGUUUUCAAAACAAGUUUACUUGGUUUGAAUUAUUACAAAAGGAUUCAUAUAGGCCUCAUAAAUUUGCUAUAACGUGCUACUGUGUGUAACGAAAAAAUUAACAAAACAGGCACGAAUCGUAUUUGUAUGUGGAUGA